GUGGUGGAUUCUGUGGGUUAUGUAGUUACGCCAUAGCUCGUUUUCUCUCUCUUUCUCUCCUAUAAAACAUCUAGCUCGUCUGACGCUUUACUCGAUCUUCCACACUGACGUCAUAAUUCUUCUCCAUGCCGGUUUCGCCACUUUCUCCGUUGAACGGUGCGGUUUCUAACGUCUGUCGGGAGUCACCGAAGUUGUUUACCUGGCCGCAUUUUUAGGUCGAAAACGAAAGUUCUGGGGCGAAUAUCCAAAUGUGCAGUUUGGUUUACAGAGAAAGGUCGGAUGUGAUCCGUUUUCCAUAUUUUUCUUAGUAGAGAAAAUUUCUUUAAUUAUUGCGGAAUGGAAAAUCCGUAAUUAAUUAAUAAAUAACGGAAUGUAACGGUUGGAUUGUGGAGUAAGAAGAAUGGGCGAUAUUUGUAAACUAAGACCAGCUUCUCAAGGUUGAAUUGUUGCAGUCGGCAUGAUUUUAAAAGCUGCUGACUUCUCUAGCGACCCGGCGGUCGUCAUACCUCUUUACCUUUCCACCCACUCUCGUUCCUUCUUACACAUUUUAAUCGGUAGAGACUGGCUUCGUUAGAAUGCGUCUUCCAGUAUCUGGUCGUUAGGAGUAGCCUACCUGCCGGAUACGGAUUUUCAGGGCAGAAGGACCAAAGGCCGAGGCCGGGAUUGGCCUAACUAAAGAGAGAGAAGAGGCUCGACCGACAUACCGAUGAUCAGACCGGGUAAUGAUGAUGGAUGCGAAUGGCCUUCGGGAUCAGAGAGUAUCGAUACUACAAACCUGUUUUCCGUUGGACGUGGGACGCAGGUUUCCAAAAAUGGCGUCGCGUUAGAAAGUGGUGGGCCGACCACCGCGGAUGGGUACGCGACCCGAAUACGGAACGCCGGAUUCGAGUUUUAUAUAUUUCUAGUUUGCGAGAAUGGCAUAGUUCCGAAAUGCAAUUCUUUUAAUACAGAGAUUUAACAGUCGAGACGAAUGGAAUUUGUUAUUGGCUUUCGAUCAUCUGGUUUAUUCUCAGGCAAACGGCGUGUUCCUCGUCAGUUCGAAUUCUUCACCUUCUCUUUCCGUCUAUAGAGAAACAUGAUCUAAUACGAAAUGCGAGGACGAUAAAGUGUUCUCUGAAUUUUCUCGUAGUUAAAUGAUGGUUAAAGCGAUCGAUCUUCCAUCUCGAUGACGGUAGUAUAUAAAGGCUGGCAUCUUCCUGUCAUUCUUGCACUGGACGGAGAUGCUUACCAAUGUUUGCCUCCGGCCAAAAGAGAGCGAGUGCAUCGACGUCUCCCUCUAGUCUUUUCAAACGUCCGUCUGGUUGAUUUUCCGUUCCAAAAUACUACUACAUUCAUUUUUCAACCGGCACCACUGCAUCUUUCUGAUUACCAGUAUGGUUAGAUGUUAGGAUUCGUCCUUUUUUUUCCGGAUCGACGACCCCCUUUCAUUUAGCACCGGUCAUUUAAUCCUUGUCGGGCCCAUCAGUUAAUGGAUCUUUCUGUUUAGCAGCUAUUCGCACAUCGGAAUUCUCAAAUGGUAAAUUUGCCCUUGUUACGAAAUAAAAAGAUUAUUCGUAUUUCGCGUGCAGUUCUAUUCGUACACGUUUUAUUAAAGCAUUUUCCAGGAGAAGAGAAAAAUAUCAGUUCAUCUACGGUACAAUUGAAAAUAAUAAAAAAAAAAAAAAAAAAA
rnacentral:lncRNA from 1 species